CCUACGGGUGGCAGCAGUCGAGAAUCAUUCACAAUGGGGGAAACCCUGAUGGUGCGACGCCGCGUGGGGGAAUGAAGGUCUUCGGAUUGUAAACCCCUGUCAUGUGGGAGCAAAUUAAAAAGAUAGUACCACAAGAGGAAGAGACGGCUAACUCUGUGCCAGGAGCCGCGGUAAUACAGAGGUCUCAAGCGUUGUUCGGAAUCACUGGGCGUAAAGGGUGCGUAGGCUGUUUCGUAAGGCGUGUGUGAAAGGCGCGGGCUCAACCCGCGGACGGCAGAUGAUACUGCGAGACUAGAGUAAUGGAGGGGGAACCGGAAUUCGCGGUGUAGCAGUGAAAUGCGUAGAUAUCGAGAGGAACACUCGUGGCGAAGGCGGGUUCCUGGACAUUAACUGACGCUGAGGCACGAAGGCCAGGGGAGCGAAAGGGAUUAGAUACCCGAGUAGUC
rnacentral:rRNA from 1 species